UUAAUUGAUUGAUUUCAAUACUCCGACGCAAAGACGCAGUGUUUGAUGGACCUCUGGGGGACUCCCGGCACGAGGUCCGGGUCGCCCCCCGAGGCAACAGAUAGUCAUCGACAAAGGGUUGGAGGUUGGGCACGGAGGCCCGCACUCGGUAAUGAUCCCUCCGCAGGUUCACCUACGGAGA
rnacentral:misc_RNA from 1 species